ncrna:unclassified sequences Lacto-phage-1 RNA
GCUACUCUGAUAGUCUCGUAGCAACCGUGCUGUAAUCAGCAGAAGAGUACGUAAUCUAACUCAACGGCUAAAGGAUUAC